CUUCAAGCAGAUGGGAUUGGUCCUUUAUGGAAGAAGUUUGAGACAAAGAGACCCAGACCCCUCUUCCUCCAACAUUUCAUAGGACGAAGUACGAAGGGAUCUUUGCCAGGGUGAGCCAAGGAGGCCUGGUGAUAACAGAUGCCCUGGCCCAAAGGAGAACAUCAGAGCCAGAGGGAACCCUGGAGAGGAUCUGGGCCAUCUCCUUUAUGAUUCAGUGGGGGGCCUCAAGCCCAGAGAGAAAAGGGGACACUCCCAAAGGAACAUGCAAGGCUUGAAUUGUACCUGAGUUCCAAAGGAGAAGCUGACAUUCCUUCCUUCCAGAACAUAUGCCCAGUGUCUUCAACUUGAGAUGGAGCUGGGAUGCCAAUUCUGCAAACGUGGGCUUUGGGCUUGGACAAGCCUAGGUUUGCAUCCCAGCUCUGCCCUUUGCUGUGACUGUGGCCCUGGGAAAAACGAACCUCUCUGAACUUUCCUGACGGCACUCAUGAGUGGGAGACAGUAUCAUGUCAGGGUGUGAUCAUGCACGCUGCACAGAGUCGGUGUUUAAUGAUGUUUCUGAAUAACAAAUGAUUUAAAAUAAAGGCAGCUGUGCGAAGCAGUGAGAACUGAUAGUAAAUGUGGCCGGGGCACAGAUAGCAGGCAGUUGGGAGGGAGGGAAGAGGGUCUGCUUCGUGAGGGGUAAUCAGGGAAGCUAUAUUAGCAGGAAUUUUUUUUUUUUUCACUCUUGUUGCCCAGGCUGGA